AAACUGUAUUGUCUGUCGAGAUGCAUUAAUUACAGAAUUUACGCAGGAGCAAUUCUAUGUACACUCAUGUAUCAUAUAUAAACUGUAUUGUCUGUUGAGAUACAUUAAUUACAGUCUUUACGCAGGAGCAGCUCUAUGUUCAGUCGAUGAGACUACAGUUGCGUCGGGAAUUGUAAACUAAGCAAUAACGGCCCUCUCGGGCAUACAGCAUACAUGAUGUUAAAUAGGACUCCAAAGUGCGAAGGUCACGCCAAAGUCACGGUGCGAUGGUCCACACUCAUACGCCAAAGUGCGAUGGUCUGACACGCCAAAGUGUGAUGGUGUGAGACGAAUGCGCCAUAGUGCGAUGAUCUGACACGCCGACGUCCGAUGCUUUGUAAAGGACACAGUGUUUUGGUACAGAUUAAACCAACCGUGUGUUGUUUCACCAAAAUGUCAGUGCAAAAUCCAUGUACACACAAAAAAUAAGAAUAAGAACUUAUUUCACUACCAUUUAGUUGUCGUGUUAAUAAACACAAAAUUUUCCAACGCGACAUCGUAUAAAAUGGAAUUUAUUACGUGUACGUCAAAGUAAUAAAUGAUCAUGGAUUAAAGAAUAUUUGGGUGAAGUAGAUAGUUUGACAACAAAUGUACUUUGCCGUUCUCACUAUCCUCAACCGUGUAGACCAUCAACUGUCGUCCAUGUCAAUCUUAAUCUUCCGUGCUUUCCUCCAAUAUAUCCUGAAGAAGUUGGUGUCAUCACUGCAGUAUAAAGAACCUUCAUUGGGGCAAACUGACGAAGCGUUGCAAUACGCCGGUUACGCGAUACGUCCGAGUUAUUUCCCUUUGGAGAACUCUCAUGCUUAGUAAGGCGCAAAACAACUUGUUUACACGCGGUAGUGGGACAAAUCUUCAUCACUGCAUAAGUGAAUAUGCUCAAAAGACGUUAAGAAUGACGUCACAAACGUUACUGAACUCCGCACCAUGGGACUUUGGCGUGGCCAUCGCACUUUGGCGUCCGUAACGAUAACAAACCAUCGCACUUUGGCGCAGACCAUCGCACUUUGGCGUGAUCAUCGAUCGAACUUUGGAGUUACCAUUGCACUUUAGAGUCUUACAUAUGUAUUCUAAGUAUAUGUGUUUAUUCAGUUGACUGGAGUAGGCGAAAUUCUUUUUUAAUUCAUGAUUGUGAAGUCUCCAAAGAAAAACAAAAUCAGCUGCUUGCCAUAGACUUUCCUGCUCCUGUUUCCUUGGCUGAGGGACGACCAUUAGAUGAUGUUUUCACUUUUACUAGGGAAGUUACCCGAUUCCGCCCCUAUCCGGGAUUGAACUCACGACCUGCGGAACCAAAUCUCCUAGCAGCAUGUAACCAGCAAGUUUAACGAACCAGAAAUUCUUGCGCACCACUUCGUAAAAAUAGCCAAGGAAUUAAUAUAACGUAUCAAUGUAAAUGGAAAGAACGAGAUAUCUAAAUUUGUGAACAUCAUCUAGUCACUGCUCUUUACAUUGGCCACUCGUUCAAUAUGGAGCUCUGAAUUUUAUUUUUUCGCGUUAUAACGCGAAACUUUUGCUUAUAUAUGCGUAAUUUUCGCGUUAUAACGCGAAAUAUUCUACAUAAAUAUAGUUAUGUAAAAAAGGAACCCGUGAUUAGUACAAUGAACGAAGACUGACUUAUAUGCAUUCACAAGUUAUUAGUAUUAAAGAACACACGCUAACACGCCUACAUCUUACAUACGCAUAUUUCAGAAUGUUUAGCAAAUAUGCUAUUGAAGUUUUAAUGAAUGCAAAAUAGAAUUCAUAUUGAUAAUUGACUACUGUCAGUGUUACUGAUUAAGAACAGCUUUCAAUACGGGGGUAUAAUAUUUCGUCUGCUGAAAUCAAGCCUUAAAAUGUCACAGAAUAUUAAAAAACUAUUGUAUUACCGUAUGCUUAAUCUACAAUUUCUUUUGAUUGAUUUGAUAACUCGAAAACCCCACAGAAUGUCUCUAGAAAGCACUUGGGGACCUAAGUCAUUGUCUUCAAAUAAUUUCAAAUGAAUCCACACUUUUCAAAGAUUAUGUCCCUUGGCUGCCAUCUUUGGAUUCUCAUAGGAGCCUUUGUAACUGUUUUAUGAUUUUGCCAUUUGAUAUGCUUUUGAUUUGGUUUGAACAUAUUUUAUUGUCCAGAAAGACCUUUCCUAUAUCACAAGUAGUAACAUAAAUAAGUUCCAAAACUUAAGUACGGUACCGGUGGUAACAAAGGUCAAUAUAAGAUGAUCUGCUAACAUAAAACAGUCAAAUUGUAACCAAUUAUAAAUGCAUAUACAUGUAUACAAAACUACAAAGUAGAGCUGGACAAGUCCAGAAGCGUCGGCGUGUAUUAGAAAUAGGGGUGGCGAACUGGGUCGGGGAAAAAAAGGGGGGGGGGGUUAUAAAACGUGUUUUGACUUAAAGUUAAAUUUCCAUCAGAAACUUAUUAUUUUUCCCCACUCUGUCAAUAUCUUAAAGACAUCACUUGAAAAAAAAACCACGAAGUUGUUAUACUCGUAUAAACCAGAACUUUACAUGUACAUAUUAGAAUGUACUUGUUUAUUGUCAGAUCAUUCACUCCAAUGCAAAUUAAGUCUCAGAAAAUUGUUCAUUCAUUCAUUUAUAGAUUAAUAAGAAUAGAAUUAGAUUAAUAACUGUGUAUUGCAAGUUAAGACUUGCGACUUUGUUUUUAGCUGAAAUUGAGAACAAUUUUUAAAAUAAAAGAAAUAUUAUGUUCACAAAUAUCGCGUUUAGUGUAAUUAAUGUAUAUGAACCGAUGAUUUCAAUACAUGUAAAACAUUAAGAUUUGUUUUCUAUAUAGAAUAGAUGAAAAUAUAAUAUUUUGAUAUACAUGCAGUUACCUCAUCAUAAUGUAACUAUGCGUAUGGUUUAAACCUAGAGGGGUGAGACGGUGAUUUUAAUCUAAUUUUCAGUAUUUUCCUUUAAUUUAUAUACACUCAUAAUAUUCUUCUAAUAUUUAUCGAUAAUUGUUUAUUGACUCACGACGUUGAAUCACCCAAGCUUCCAAACAUCGAACAGAUGUUAGCAAACCUGCACGUACAACAAUGACGCAUAGUUACCCCGUUUAAACACGCCAGGUACAGGUACAUAUAUAAUUAUAUAACAUACAUGUACAUUCCAUUUGGCGUCUGUUGCCACAUUUCGCCGUUAUAUCACGGCCACCUGAUAUAGCUUACGUACACCCCCCUACACCCUCUCUUCUAUCCAAUGAAAAAUAAAUACAGAACCAAUAACUUAUCCGAAAUAUGUGAUUUCCCCACCGAUCACCUACAUGAUUCGUUUUGAAUAGCCAGUUUCUACUUUCUUUAAGUACGUCAGGGCCGUAAAUUAACCUUCAAUUUGGAGGAGGCAGGAAAUUAGGCGGGGGUCUGGGGGCCGCCCAGGCCCCUAGACGCUGAGCACAUUUUGUGCACACUGAACACGUUUCGUGCAAAAUCCUUGAUUCUAGGGCCUUCUAAGAUGUUACUUGACUAACUCAUUCUAAAAGAAAGAUUUGGAAUGCUUUUUAAGGGAGGUAUCAUGUUCUUAGUUAUUGGAAACAACAUAAAUUCUAAUGAACUUUAAAUUUUAAUUUUUUUUUGGCUCAAAAGUUGGAGGAGGCAGCUGCCUCCUCCGCCUCCAUGUAAUUUACGGCCCUGUACGUAACAAAUCAUGUAAACAAAUAGGGAUACCGGCUUCGAGACCGAUUCACGGGUUAUAAACCAACUUUACCGAAGGAAUUUCUGCGAAUAUCUCGUCAGGCUAAAGUAGUUUUAUCCAAAUCCCAUGUCAUCAGUUAACUUGCAUGAAAGAUUCCUGACAUGUUGCAGAUUCAAGUUUGUUCAAAUCAUGGCCACAGGGGGUAAGGUGGGGUCACAAUAGCGAAUAAGGUAUCAAAGUUUUACAUGUGAUAAUAUAGGGAAAAUCUUUAAAAAUCUUCCUCUUAAAAACCACUGGGCCAGAAAAGUUGAAACUUUUAUUAAAGCUUGCUGAUAUUUUGUUCAAAUCACUCCCACCCCACAGGGGGGUAGGGUGGGGCCACAAUAGGGGAUCAAAGUUUUACAUGCAAAUACAUAAGGAAAAUCUUUUUAAAAAACCACUGAGCCAGAGAAGUUCAAACGUAAACGAAAGCUUUCUGACAUAGUGCAGUUCAAAUCAUGCCCCCCCCCCUCCCACACCGGGUGUAAGAUGGGGUCACAAUGGGGAAUCAAAGUUUUACAGUGUGGAUCUUUAAAAAUCUUCUCAGGAACCAUUGGACCAAAAAACAAAAAAUGAAAUCUACACUUCAAGCUUCCUGACAUAGUGCAGAUUCAAUUUAAAAAAAAUGCAUGGCCCCUUGGGAUAGGAUGGGGCCACAAUAGGGGAUAAAAGUUUAACAUUCGAGUACAUGGGGGAAAUCUUUUUAAAAAUUCUUCUCAAAAACCACUGGGCCAGAAAAGUUCAUAUACACGAAAGCCUCCUGAUCCACGUUUGUGUAAUUCAUGGUCCCCGGGGGUAAGGUGCAGCCACAAUGGGGGAUCAAAGUGUAAUAUGCUGAUAAUAAUAUAUGAGAAAGAUCUUUUAACCAAGAUGUGUUUGUGAAACACAAAUGCCCCCGAUAAUGGCCAAUUCCAAAGAUGACCAAGAUCACAAGGACAAAUAUCUUGAUACCAGUAGAAAGACCUUGUCACAAGAAAUCCUCAUGUGCAAAUAUGAAAGCUCUAAUAUUGACCAUUUAGAAGUUAUUACCAAUGUCAAAUUUUUAAAAAGUAGAUGAAAUGCCAAGGUCAAAAGGUUUAGUACCCACGGAAAGGUCUUGUCACAAGGAAUACUCGUGAAAUAUCAAAGCUCUAGCACUUACUGUUCAAAUGUUAUAAACAAGGUUAAACUUUCAGACAGAAUGAGGGAAUGUCAGACAGGACAAAAACAAUACACCCCCCCACCCCCACCCCCGAUCUUCGACAUAAAAGUUUCUUGAACUAUUUAAGCUAGGGCUUUCAUAUUUUGUAUAUACAUAUUUUUUUUUACAGAAAGACCUUUCAUGUGAUGCAAUGAUAUGUGAUCUUGUGACCUAGACUUGGAAGUUUGACCUACUUUUAAUUAAAAAAAUUUACCUAUUUAUUAUCUCCUGAACUAUUCAAGAUAAAGCUUUCAUAUUUUUUUUAAAUAUACGAUUCUUAUUGCAAGGUCUUCAUAUCAUACCAUGAUCAAUGACCUUGUGACCAUGAUCUUAUCCAGAACAUAGUUAGCCAUAUUGCUGGUGAUGUAUCUCUUUGCAAUGUGAAUUAAUUUUCAGUUAUGUUGUGAUCCUCUAGGGCUAGGUUGGGGCCACAAUAUGGGGUCAAAAAUUUUCAUGGGAAUAAAGACUGAUAACAAAAAUCUUUUAAAAAUCACUACAGCUGAACAAUUAUGGCAGAGCCAAGGUGACUCAGGUGAGCAAUGUGACCCAUGGGCCUCUUGGUUGGGGGGGGGGGGGGGGUCGGGUUCUGAAACAUGUGGGUAAUGGUAUACAUCAAAGUCAUGCAGAUUAUGACAGACCAAAGACGUUAAGAAAAAAAAAAAGGGGGGGGGGCUGACUGGUGACGUCAUCCUUAUAUUUCUAUUGAAAGUUACAAAGUAUCCCCUCGACCGCGAUGUAUGGAAAGCAACUUCUGUUGUAUGAAAACACUAGCUGUUGUGUUGUACAUUUCAAGAAAAAUACAGGCGUAGGAAUUUAGCUACACUGUACAUUAAUGUACAAUUGUGGAUGUAGGUCGAUCGAAGUUUAAUGCCUUACCUAUAGCAGAAUGGGCAGGCAAUAAUCUUAUUUCCCUUUUAGGACCCUAAAUAUUACAUGCAAUCCAUACACGUGAAGUAAUGCGUGGUAUUUAGCCUAUAUAUCAAUGAGCUGCUAGGAUAUACAACUGAAAUCCAAACCCGAUCUAAAAUAGUAUUGAUUUUAUACACACACAAACACAUACUAACAGAAAACAUGCUCUCAGCAGGUGCUCCUUUCUCGUUUUGAUUUUUUUCUCAUUUGCGCAAUAAAGAUCUAUGUCUGUCCUUCUU